rnacentral:rRNA from 1 species
AAGUCGAACGAAGUGGUAACACUUAGUGGCGGACGGGUGAGUAACGCGUAGGAACCUGCCUAUGGGUGGGGGAUAACUUUGGGAAACUAAAGCUAAUACCCCAUAAGUCGGAGACGAGAAAGGCGAAAGCCGCCGAUAGAUGGGCCUGCGUAAGAUUAGGUAGUUGGUGGGGUAAUGGCCUACCAAGCCUGUGAUCUUUAGCUGGUUUGAGAGGAUGAUCAGCCACACUGGGACUGAGACACGGCCCAGACUCCUACGGGAGGCAGCAGUGGGGAAUAUUGGACAAUGGGGGAAACCCUGAUCCAGCGAUGCCGCGUGAGUGAAGAAGGCCUUCGGGUUGUAAAGCUCUUUUGGUAGGGAAGAUAAUGACGGUACCUACAGAAUAAGCUCCGGCUAACUUCGUGCCAGCAGCCGCGGUAAUACGAGGGGAGCUAGCGUUGUUCGGAAUUACUGGGCGUAAAGCGCGCGUAGGCGGUUUUUUAAGUGAGGUGUGAAAGCCCAUGGCUUAACCAUGGAACUGCAUUUCAUACUGGAAGACUAGAGGGCGAGAGAGGACAGUGGAAUUCUCAGUGUAGAGGUGAAAUUCGUAGAUAUUGAGAGGAACACCAGUGGCGAAAGCGACUGUCUGGAUCGCAUCUGACGCUAAGGCGCGAAAGCGUGGGGA